rnacentral:tRNA from 1 species
GAUGGUGUAAUGGUAGCACGAAGGACUUUGAAUCCUCAGAUCCAGGUUCGAAUCCUGGU